rnacentral:sRNA from 1 species
UACAUUAUGUCUAGAUGUAUUGAAAUAG